rnacentral:rRNA from 1 species
UGAGGAAUAUUGCGCAAUGGGCGAAAGCCUGACGCAGCGACGCCGCGUGGAGGAUGAAGGUCUUCGGAUUGUAAACUUCUGUUAAGUGGGAAGAAAAAGCUACUCAUAAUACGAGUAGCCAAUGACGGUACCAUUAGAGAAAGCACCGGCUAAACUCGUGCCAGCAGCCGCGGUAAUACGAGUGGUGCAAGCGUUAUUCGGAAUCAUUGGGCGUACAGGGCGUGUAGGUGGUAUGUUAAGUCUGUUGUUAAAGACUCUAGCCUAACUGGAGAAAGGCGAUGGAAACUGGCGUACUAGAGGGUGGAAGAGAGAAGUGGAAUUCUCGGUGUAGCGGUAAAAUGCGUAGAUAUCGAGAGGAACAUCGAUGGCGAAGGCAGCUUCUUAGUCCAUACCUGACACUGAGGCGCGAAAGCGUGGGGAGCAAACAGG